rnacentral:rRNA from 1 species
AUUGAACGCUGGCGGCAUGCCUUACACAUGCAAGUCGAACGGCAGCACGGGGGGUAACCCCUGGUGGCGAGUGGCGAACGGGUGAGUAAUAUAUCGGAACGUGUCCUGUAGCGGGGGAUAACCUAUCGAAAGAUGGACUAAUACCGCAUACGACCUACGGGUGAAAGCGGAGGACCGCAAGGCUUCGCACUAUAGGAGCGGCCGAUAUCGGAUUAGCUAGUUGGCGGGGUAACGGCCCACCAAGGCGACGAUCCGUAGCUGGUCUGAGAGGACGAUCAGCCAAACGGGAACUGAAACAGGGUCCAGGCUCCUACGGGGGGAAGGAGUGGGGAAUUUUGGCAAAGGGGCGCAAGCCUGACCAAGCCAUGCCGGGGGGGUGAAGAAGCCCUUCGGGUUGUAAAGCUUUUUGGGGGGGGACGAAAGGGUUCGUGCUAAACCCACGGAAUACUGAGGGUACCCGAAAAAGAAGCACCGGCUAACUACGU